UUCUCACUCCCAACUCGUCAUAUACUGACGCUUGGUCAGGAACCCUCGGCGUCAGUUAUUGACGCACAGGGUACCCCUUUAGCGUCAUAUUUAGACGUGCAGGGAUUCCCUAUAGAAUCUGUGCCUGAGCCUGAGGCGUCAUAGGGAGACGCUGGAGGCUCGUAUAAUUACCAAUAGAUGUCAACAAACUUUUUAAAACCUGAUUUACGCCUAUUAUCACAGUUUUCUUAUUUUAAAAAUAUGUAAUUUUUAUUUUGUUUAUGAAAAGCGUCUGUAAACGGGGUCGAAACUACUGUAUGAAUAAACUUCGGCCCACGUGACAUCCCUUCACGUCUAUGCUCGCUAUCCCAAGGUUCAUUGCGAUCCCAAGGUUCACUGCGGUUUUCCACAAGCUCAUAGGAACUCCAAUCUUCCCAACUGUGAGAGGGCCUUGCUCCAGUGACUGUCAGUGAAAUGGAGUGAGGCAUACCAGGAUAUGCCUGGUUUUACUUUUGGGAAGGAGGUUGAACAGUGCAAUAUUUCUUCUAUAGGAUUGCAGUGACCAGACAUGCUACUGUAACUCUCAUGGUCAUGUGCUGGAAUUAGCAGAUAUUCAACAAUUUGGCCAUCUCGCUGACCUGUUGAUAUCAGAAGACCGCAACAGCUCUACAAAGCAAGUUGCAAAACAGAAUCCAUGAAACUGGCAGUGACUGG
ensembl:lincRNA